CGMCUUUAAAAAUCGUGAGGGUUCAAGUCCCUCUAUCCCCA
rnacentral:tRNA from 1 species